GUUUUAGACAUGGUUUCCUUCCAUGUUGUUGUCUCUCUUUUUGACCUCAAUUAAAAUUUCCCUGACUAUUGUGAUUACGGAUCAACCCUCUUGACCCAUGUUGAUUCCUCCAAUUAUAAAUCAUUUCAAUCUGUAAACAAAAUUCACUCAGUUUGUUAAAUCUGUCAAUAGGUAGAAAUAAGACAUCCAUAUGUAUAUAAUACCUUAUCCCUUCCUGAAAUUUCUCACAAAUCCAUUCAUGAUUUGGAUGUAAUCGAUAAAACUCAUAAUACUUUAGAAGUAACCACUACGCCAAAAACUGGAAUAGACAGCGCCCCUUAGAGAGCGCUUUAUUACAAAAGCGCACUCUAAAGUGAAGAGAAAAAAUAAGGAGCGAACAACUUGAAUAGACAGCGCACUUUAGAGGGCGCUUUUGUAACAAAGCGCCCUCUAAAGUGAAGCGAAAAAAUAAGAGGAAUGAAGGACACCAAUAGAGGACGCUUUAUGAAAGCGCCCUCUAAGGGUAACCUUAGAGGGCGCUCUAAAAAAGCGCUCUCUAUGUCCAUGUACAUUUCCAGUUUAUAAGGCGCUUUUGGAAAGCCUUAGAGAGCGCUUUAGAAGCGCCCUCUUAGGCCCCCUUUAGAGGGCGCUUUUGUCACUAAGCGCCCUCUAAGUGAAGCCAAAAAAAAAUGGAGGGACAACAUAGAGGGCGCUUUUGUGAAAGCGCCCUCUAAGGUUACCCUUAGAGGGCGCUUUGAAGAAGCGCUCUCUAAGUCCAUGUACAUUUCCAGUUUAGAAGGCGCUUUUGGAAGCCUUAGAGAGCGCUUUCAGAAGCGCCCUCUUAGGCCCCUUUAGAGGGCGCUUUUUUAAAAAAGCGCCUCUAAGGUCCCCUUUAGUAAACAUUAAAAUUAUAACAUAUACUGCAUGUCUCUUAUUUCCCUCUCUAAAGCUAUUUCGUUUACGUAACUGGGUUUUCAACUGCGAUUACUCUCUACUGCGAUUACUCUCGUCCUCCGUUCGUUCUCCCUCCCAUCCGUCAUCGUCGCCGUUCGUUCUCCCUCCCUCACCGUUCACGUUCACUGCGUUAACCUCUUCCACCGUCACUGUUCACUUCUCUUCAUCGUUACCGUCACCUUUAAGGUAUUUCUCUUCUCCCAUCGUACGUUCACUUUCUUCAUGUGUUUUGAUUAGGGCAUUUUCUAAACUUAGUUUUUCAUUUUGUGCAUUAUGUUGAUUAAUGUUGUUAGGGCAAACUGAGUUUUUAUUUCUGAUUGAAAACUGAUAUAUUAAGUGUGUUUGAGCUUGUGCUUGAGAGUUUGAUGAUAUGGAUGCAAGUUUGUCAUGUUCCAAACACCAUAGUUCGACAUGGUCUUUUGCAUGCAGUAGGUUGGUGAGUAAAUGUGUAUGCAGUAAGUUUGUGCAUGCAGUAAAUGUGUUCACGUAUUGAUCAUUGUCUUACUUGGGUCUUAUUGAAUCAUUUCUAUAUUACAGAUAAAUGGCUAACCAAGACGAUACCCAUGCCGCGAAUGAAUCACGUAAUAAUGUUGAAAAAGAAAUCAAACGAGGAUUGACUGUUAUGAAGUCAAUCAUUCGUGCAAAGACAAGGGUGUAAAAUUUGAAGUACAUUGAGUGCUGAAGACCAACUAAUUGAGCCUAACGGUUCAAUGUUGGCAAGUUACAUUGGUUUCCUUGUUCGCCAACAUAUUCCGAUUACAUGUGAUAAUUGGAGAAGUCCGGACUUGAAGGUUGGCAAGGAAAAAUAUGGUCGGAGAUACAGUACUUACCAUAUAUGUUAUUUUUUUUGUUGACUAUUUGUUAACCAUAUAGUUAUAAUAUUACUUUAUAAUAACACACUCCAUUUGUAUGUUUUUUAGAGUCCUUCACAUCGAUGAAAGCCGCAAAAUAUUGUAUUCAAUUGGCCGGAAAAAGACUCCGAGGAUUUCGAUCUUUUUGUGCAACAAAUUUCUCAGGAUGAGGAAGGAAAAUUGUUGAGGAGAACGGCCAAUGAAGUAUGCCGAGAAUUAUCAGCCGAUGAAGGGAUAACUUUGUCGCCAAAGAAGAACGAAAAUUCAUGUAAUGUCUAUUAAUUAUGGUACAACUGUUAAGUUACUUGGUUCUAAUAUGCCUUAAACUUUUUUAUCCAGGAAAUAAGCGACAAAAUAGGAAAAGGCAUCAAACCCGCGUAUCCGUAAAAAAAGGGCGUACGGUUUAGCACGGUUACAACAAAGAUUGUGAGUAUAUUCAAAUGCUAUGAGCUUAUACAUUGUCAACAAUAUGUUAUAAUGAUGAUCUUAUAAUCUAAUUCAAUGUGUAGCUAGCCGAGGAGAAAAGUGACGCAACAUCUCUUCCGACCACGUAUUAUGGAAGGCUGCUCGGGUUGGGAAGAUGGGGCUGUCGUUGAAGCGGUCCAAAAUGUUUAUGACGAAUGUGUAAGUAUAUGUAACAUUAUUUCUUUAAUUAUAUCGAAAUUUGUGUAGACAUAUAAUUCAUUUUUAAUCUCCUCUAAUAAUAUUUCAGGAGACUUUAUCCAAACCCCUCAACGAGCCAGGAUUGCAGGAGCGUACUUAGUCGAGUACUAAAUGUUCCUGAGUAUUCCGGUCGUGUGAGGGUAAGGGUUUUGGUGUGAUCCGUCGUCAUUUAAAAAAAAACAAAAACAAAAAUCCUACCAACAAAGAGGUGAUGGAGACCUUGGCGAGUUAAGGGCACAAGUACUCCAACGCAAAACGAGAAUGCAAGGUAUAGAGAGGAAAGGUGCCGCUUCCGAGGCAAAAGAUACUAGUGACGAGCUAGUAUCAAUCAUCAACCGAAAUUUCCCGAGGUAAUUAUAUAUGUUAUUAUGAAAUUAAAAUAGCACUUUUUUACUUGACAGCAUAUACAAGUUAAACAUAACAUUUAUUAUUGGUUUUAGGGCAUUUCACUUGUCAGCUGUAUCUAUCGUCACCAACUUAUCGCAUGGUUGGCAGGGAAAAGUGCACAUACUUCGGGUGAAUACUUCACCAUAAUCCCCUCCCGGUGGAUUUAUGAAAGUUUCGGUGACCUCGUAUUAGAUACGGACGCCCGUCUACCAUUACCACGACGUUGUUUCAGAGACAACGUUGAUCGCGAGAUGCAGUCGGAUCUCUUGUUGGUUGGCCGUCACGAUCUAAUUUUCCCUGAUGCGCGAGGUAUAUAUGUUCUAAAUGAUUAUGAAUAUUUAAGAAUUCACAUUUCAAUUCAGCUACAAUAUGAUAUUUAAUCAAUCCUUAUUACAUGGUAUGUUAGACUCCUACAAGACCCACCCUAAAGCUGGUAAAGGGAUUCAAGACGCAUCGAGUCGGUUGCAUCUCAAAAGAGUACAAAUAUUAUACCCAUUGAAUUAUAUACACACACGAUUCUUUUGCAUCACAAAAAGUAAUGAUUUAUUUUAUAUGAAUUUUUAGGUUCCGGUCGAAAGUUGAAAGCGAUGGUAAGGAUAUUCCAACGAAGGAUAUUCCAAUGAAGAUAUUCCAACGACCGGCCGGGACAAAACUCAAAUAUGAGGCGUCUUGAGAAAAUGGUGGAAGAGUCCGAUAUUAUGGACGGGUCCAUUCGUAGUAUAGAUUUUGAUGAAGGUGUUUUCGGAAAGCUCAUUUCGAAAUAAUGGAAAGGAGGACAUGCAACAACUUUUUGAGCACGACGAAUUGGGCAUCGCUAUCAUUCAUACAUACAUAUGGUACUCCGAUCAAUCUAUAAUUACUUAGUUGAACAAUUUAUUUACACAUAUUCAAUGAGUAGUCAAUAUUUUAUAUGUUUCUAUUUAAGGUAUAUGUAUGACAAAUUGAGCGGGAAAUGAAUUGUGUAACCGUUUCAAUUUUAUUGCUGCUUCCCGUGUCAACGCAAACGUUAAAUCGAAAAUCCAACAUCCGUAAAGAAUGAUCUAGUCAUAGAUUCAUGGCGGCCGGCGAUAAUACAACACGCAGUUUGUUUUUUUUACCGUUUAAUUCUGGCAACGGGUUAGAUUUUCUUUCUAAUAAUUUCAUUCUAACUAUGUAUAUCUUUUACGUAGAAAAUUUCAUUCAUCUAAAUUUUGUUUUAUUUUACAGUGGCCAGUGGGUGUUGGUUGCUAUGGAUCUUUCGAGACUAAUAGUGUAUUAUCUCGAUUCGUUAUCGGGUGAUUGGAGUAAAUAUCCGGUUGAAGAAGACGGUUGACACGUAGUGAAAUUCCCUAAAUAUUCGUGUGUAUUUAUAUUUAAUUAUGUCUGUCAGAUUGAUCUCAAUAUACGUUUUAUUUUGUUAGGGCAAUAUAAAAUUUAGAUCGAAAAAGAAUUACCGCAUUAGGAAGGACAAUUACCUGGGUCAGAGUUCAGUAUAUAUUAAGUAUCUUAUUUUUGCUUAUAAUAGUGUUUGUUUUUUUGCUUAUAAUAGUGUUUGUAAGAAAUUAACUAUAUAUAUAUUGUUUGUUUUUCUGUGUAGUGUCCUCAGCAAAAUAAUCGGACAUUGCCGGAUUUUUUGUAUUGAGAUUUAUGAGAGAUAUCAUUGCAUUGAAUCGUAUAGACAUCCCAAAAAUGGUAUGGAAUAAUAACUUAGGGUUUAUUUAAUAUUAUCGGAUAACUAAUCUAAUUUGUUACUAAAUCAUGAAUUGUUUUAUUCUCUUAAUUGUAGUACUUUGAGGAAUACAAAUCUUACCCAAGAGCUCAUUUGAUGAAAUGAAGGAUGAAUUGUGUCAAUUCAUUGUUGAUCAAAGAAUCAUAUACUAGGUUGUAUAUUGUUUACAUAUAUGUAUGGAAUGUGUUGUUGUAUGUUGUUGUUGUAUAUAUGUUGUAUAUUGUUGUUGUACUUUACCUAAAUCAUGAAUAUGUUGUUGUAUAUGUUGAUCAAAGAAUCAUAUAUUAAUUGUAUAUAUGGAGGAUUAAUGUUGUAUAUAAAUGGAUUCAUGUUGUAUAUAUCAUGGAUUAAAGGAUGAAAUCAAUAUGAAUUUUACACUUUUGCAGCAUGCGAACAGGUUACCAAUUAAAUAUCCACUGUUUUUCAAACAAAUUUUUUUAAAUAACUAACACUUUAGAGGGCGCUUUCUGUAGGAACGCCGCCUCUAAACACUUUACAUUGAGAACUUUAGAGGGCGCUUUGUCCAGAAAGCGCCCUCUAAACACUUUACAUUGACAACUUUAGAGGCGCUUUCUGGCAGAAAGCGCCUCUAAAGUGUUAGUUAUUUUAAAAAAAUAGCGCCUCUAAACACUUUACAUUGACAACUUAGAGGGCGUUUUCCAGAAAGCGCCUCUAAACACUUUACAUUGACAACUUUAGAGGGCGCUUUUUCCAGAAGCGCCCUCUAAGGUGUCCCUUUAUGGACCACUCCAGAGGGCACUUUUUUCAUAAAGCGCACUAUAAUGUGGGCUUUAGAACGCUUUCUCCAGGAAAACAAAGCGCUGUCUUUACCUAUGCCAGCGCCAGAUUAGAGGGCGCUUAAAAGCGCUGUUAUAGGCCAAAAUAAGCGCCCUCUUUUCCCUUAUUUGGCGUAGUGAACUCAAAUUUCUGAGUAUAAUCCCUAACAUAUAGUGAUCCUUGUCUCAAGUUAUUGAAC
rnacentral:lncRNA from 1 species